UACGUAGGGCGCAAGCGUUGUCCGGAAUUAUUGGGCGUAAAGAGCUCGUAGGCGGCUUGUCACGUCGGGUGUGAAAGCCCGGGGCUUAACCCCGGGUCUGCAUUCGAUACGGGCUAGCUAGAGUGUGGUAGGGGAGAGCGGAAUUCCUGGUGUAGCGGUGGAAUGCGCAGAUAUCAGGAGGAACACCGAUGGCGAAGGCAGCUCGCUGGGACGGUACUGACGCUGAGACGCGAAAGCGUGGGGAGCAAACAGG
rnacentral:rRNA from 1 species